rnacentral:rRNA from 1 species
AUGAACGUUGCGGUCAUGUUACGAUGGGUCUGGCAGAUCCUGCGAGGCGAGGGCGGCUUGUGGCUUCAGCUCCUUCAGGCGAAAUACCUUUGGGGUGAGCCUCUCCUGGCCUGCUCCCGCUUGGGAGGGUCUCAGUUUUGGAGAUCCAUCCAAAAGAUCAAGGAGGACAUUUGUCUUGGAAUCUCCUUCUCUAUAGGAAAUGGGGAUGGGACCCAAUUUUUGCUGGACCCCUGGGUGGGUACCGAGCCGCUUAGGGUGAGCUUUCCUGGCCUAUUUUCAAUCUGCACUAACCCGCUACUACUCGUCUCCGCGGCUUCCCGAUCUAGACAGUGGAAUAUCCGGUUCCGUCGUACAUUUGGGCAACUGGAGCAUGACGAGUGGACUAACUUGCGGGCGGCCCUACCGCCGGUGCUGCCAAACUGUCUGGACACAGUGUCUUGGCGGCUCUCACCGUUGGGUGAGUUCUCGGUGAACUCAGCAUAUCAGGCAUUAUGCCAAUCACCCACCGUUCCAUGGCUUUCUCCCACGUGGAAGGCCACUUUGCCCUUGAAGAUUAAUAUUUUUGUGUGGCAACUACUACGAGAUCACAUCCCUUCGGGGGACAAAAGUGCUUUAACAGCAUGGCCCCGGUGA